AGAAUCAACGCUGGCGGCGUGCCUAACACAUGCAAGUCGAGCGCGAAAGGGGAGCAAUCCCCAAGUAGAGCGGCGAACGGGUGAGUAACGCGUGGGUAAUCUACCUCCGAGUGGGGAAUAACAGCGGGAAACUGCUGCUAAUACCGCAUGACAUCGUCGAGCCUUCGGGCAUGACGAUCAAAGCCGGGGACCGCAAGGCCUGGCGCUUGGAGAGGAGCCCGCGUCCGAUUAGCUAGUUGGCGGGUAAUGGCCCACCAAGGCUCCGAU
rnacentral:rRNA from 1 species